CGGACGGGUGAGUAACACGUGGAUAACCUACCUAUAAGACUGGGAUAACUUCGGGAAACCGGAGCUAAUACCGGAUAAUAUAUUGAACCGCAUGGUUCAAUAGUGAAAGACGGUUUUGCUGUCACUUAUAGAUGGAUCCGCGCUGCAUUAGCUAGUUGGUAAGGUAACGGCUUACCAAGGCAACGAUGCGUAGCCGACCUGAGAGGGUGAUCGGCCACACUGAACUGAGACACGGUCCAGACUCCUACGGGAGGCAGCAGGC
rnacentral:rRNA from 1 species